AGGACGAACGCUGGCGGCGUGCUUAACACAUGCAAGUCGAGCGGAAAGGCCCUUCGGGGUACUCGAGCGGCGAACGGGUGAGUAACACGUGAGCAACCUGCCCUCAGCUCUGGGAUAGCUCCCGGAAACGGGAAUUAAUACCGGAUAUGACCCUGACCGACAUCUGUCAGGGUGGAAAGGUUUACCGGCUGAGGAUGGACUCGCGGCCUAUCAGCUAGUUGGUGGGUAACGCCUACAAGGCGACGACGGGUA
rnacentral:rRNA from 1 species